rnacentral:rRNA from 1 species
UCUUGUGCAAUAAACGAAAGUAUGACACAGAGAGGACACAUUUAAUUGAGCCCGUCAAAUUAAGUGCCAGCCGACGCGGUUAAACUUAAGGGCUGGUCUUUAUAAGUAAAAAGGCGUAAAGGAUGUGUAGGCCAAGAAACGAUCCAAGUAGGUAAAUGGAAUUUUUCUGGAGCGGUAGAAUGUGAGGAUAGAAAAUAGAACCCCUAAGGUAAAAACUAUUUACUACAAGGUAGGCUGAAACAUGAGAGUGUGGGGAGCAAACAGGAUUAGAGACCCUGGUAGUCCACACUGUGAACUUUGAAGAUGAUGCUUAGCAGACCCGAAAGGUAAAAUCUUCCGCCUGAGUAGUACGAUCGCAAGAUUAAAAUUCAAAAACUUUGGCUGUUCACUAUUUCGAUUAGAGGAGCGUGUAGUUUAAUUCGAUGGUCCGCGUGUUACCUUACCCCAACUUGAAUCUGUGACCGGUAUUGCAUGGCCGUCGUAAGUUCGUGUAUUAAGCUAGAAGGGACCCAACCCGGGCACUUGCCCGGAGGAAGUCAGGUCUUAUGAUCCGAAUGUUGGGGGAUUUUAUGCGCUACAUUUUCUUAUAUAAUGAGAAACCUGGAAGGUGAAUCUCUAAAGUAAGAGUUCGGAAGGUCGCUGUAAGACGACUGGAAGUUGGAUUUAAUAGUAAUCGGAAAGUAGGGCGUUCCGGUGAAUUGGUACAAGUGUUAGCACAAAUUGCCCGUCACCUUUACUUAGAAUGGUUAUUCGGAUGUCUUCGG